GAAAUGCGAUACGUAAUGUGAAUUGCAGAAUUCAGUGAAUCAUCGAAUCUUUGAACGCAUCUUGCGCUCUCUGGUAUUCCGGAGAGCAUGUCUGUUUGAGUGUCAUGAAUUCUUCAACCCAAUCUUUUCUUGUAAUCGAUUGGUGUUUGGAUUCUGAGCGUUGCUGGCUUUAUUGCUUAGCUCGUUCGUAAUACAUUAGCAUCCCUAAUACAAGUUUGGAUUGACUUGGCGUAAUAGACUAUUCGCUAAGGAUUCGGUGGAAACAUCGAGCCAACUUUACUAAGGAAGCUCCUAAUUUAAAAAGUCUACCUUUUGAUUAGAUCUCAAAUCAGGCAGGAUUACCCGCUGAACUUAA
rnacentral:misc_RNA from 1 species